rnacentral:rRNA from 1 species
UUAACAAAAACAUGUCUUUUUGAAUUUAAAUAUAAAGUUUAAUCUGCCCACUGAUAAAUUAUUUAAUGGCCGCAGUAUUUUAACUGUGCAAAGGUAGCAUAAUAAUUAGUCUUUUAAUUGAAGGCUUGUAUGAAUGAUUGGACGAGAUAUAAACUGUCUCAUAAAAAAUUUUUUAGAAUUUAAUUUUUUAGUUAAAAAGCUAAAAUAAAUUUAAAAGACGAGAAGACCCCAUAGAUCUUUAUAUUUUUUUUUAUUAUUAUUAUUUAGUUUUUUUAUAAAUUAAUAAAUAAAAAUAUUUUGUUGGGGUGACAUUGAAAUUUAAUAAACUUUCAAAAUUUAAUAACAUUAAUUUAUGAAUUUAUGAUCCUUUAUUAAUGAUUAAAAAUUUAAGUUACCUUGGGGAUAACAGCGUAAUUAUUUUGGAAAGUUCAUAUUGAUAAAAUAGAUUGCGACCUCGAUGUUGGAUUAAGAUUAAUUUUGGGUGUAGCAGUUCAAAAUAUUAAGUCUGUUCGACUUUUAAUUUCUUACGUGAUCUG